rnacentral:lncRNA from 1 species
GGAACACGUAGGAGAAAAAAAAGGAAGAAGAAGAAGUAUCAUCAUCAUCAUCAUGGUCACCUUGUUGAGAAGAGGGAAUAGAGAGAAGAAUAAGAGCCUUAUUUUGCAGGGUGUAUAGUAAUGAAGAAAGAAGCUUUGUAAAAAGGGAAAGGGUUGGCAUGGUGAAGAUUGAAGAAGAGAGAAAACUUGAAGAGUUUGAGAGAGAGAUGCAGGGGUUGCAGGAACCGGGUGGGGUCGGAGAAGAGAGGUUGAUGACGAGAAAAGGG